rnacentral:misc_RNA from 1 species
GGAUGAAAAUUCAAACUAAAGUUCUGGCUCCCCCCGGCUCCUACCCCCAAUAGUAGUGUAUGUGAUGGAUGCUCUACGGCAAAUAAUAUUCCUACUCCUACAGAAAACUGAUAUAAUGAUGGAUCUUUAAUUAUUUAUCAAUAUUUGUUGUGUAUUAUAAUGUGAGAUUAUUUUUCAAUCACAAAACUAAGAUACUAGCUACCCAUGAUGAUCUUUUUUCUCUUUAUAUUUGUGUUUUCCAUUAAUCAAAUAGAAUCUAGAAUCAUGCUCAUGUCUAGUGGUUCUUUUAUAAUUAAUCUUCUUGUUCUGCUGCUGUAUGAAUCAUAAUGAACACUCAUUUUUUAAUUUAAUUUAUACAACCAAAUUUAUGCAUUGAUUGUGGAGCUGCGAAAUUUGUAUCAUAUGGGAAUGAAAGUCCUCAAAUGGCAUAUCAUCCAUUAUUUUGCAGUGUUAGUGCCUUUUGACAUUUGAUCCUGUUGUCAUUGAAGUAUUUAACACACAUACACACACAUAUAUCUAAAAUCUUUCGAGAAAACAUUGUACCAUAUACAGGCUAUCUUGCUUCUUUGGACAUGUUUGUUUUUGUAGAUUGAUUUGACUAAUGUUUUCUCUAAGGUUUGGUGCUUCCAAAAGAUAAUAUAAACAUGUUGUAAAAAAUUGAUUUAGUUGAUGGUUGAAUGGGAUGGCUUCUGCAGUAGGUUAAGUAACAAGAACCAAGAUUGCUUUGAUGGUUGGCCUCCUAAGUGUCCUUGGCAAUUGAGAUUUUUGUGCACAUAGAUGCUUGUGUGUUUGUCUUUCUACAUGUCUUUUCACUCUCUUUCUCUUUCGUCCUCCCUCCCAUUAUACCUUGAGUUUGAUAUAGUUAUAUGGUUAUUCUUG